ensembl:lncRNA PLAC4 placenta enriched 4
CGUAGCUCAUAAUCCAUUUUUAUAACACCUUGCUAUCUAUAUUUACACCUUUAAAGAACACGGGAAUUUAAGAGGGAAGAGUAACUAGGCUUUUGCUAAACUUGGGCUAAUAAAACCCUCUGUAGAGAGAUCCUUAAUAUAGGCAUGGGGACAACAAGGAGUAUCCCAAGGGACUCGCCGCUAGGGUGUCUUUUAAGCUAUUGGAGCAAAUUCAAAUUUGGCUUAAAGAAAAAGAAACUCAUUUUGUAUUGCAACACCAUUUGGGUUAAAUACAAGUUAGAUGACGAAUAUAUCUGGCCUAAACAUGGUUCUAUAUACUAUAGUGAUAUUUUACGAUUAGGCUUAUUUUGUAAAAGAGAAGGAAAAUGGGAAGAGAUCCCUUAUGUACAGGCUUUUAUGGCUCUAUACUGGAUCACGUUACUUCCAGGCAUUAGAAUGCCAUGCAUAAGGGAUCCCCACCUAGCUGCUCCCCAUAGAAAGUUCAUAAGCCUCCCCAGAGUCUCUUCAGUCCCCCAGUCCUGAGUGGGGGUUCUCGCCAAUUCCCUAAUGAGAUUCCACCCCAAUAUCAUCAGGCACCUUUCCCCCUUAUCCAACUAGCCCUAGCCUAUACCCUCUGCUGCCCAAGAAAAUGAGCCCAACCAGUACACCAGGAGUGGGGCUCCAUAUCAGCCCCUAAGGUCAAGCCUGUGUCCACUGUGGAAAGUAGUUGAUGGAAAUGAGGGAACACUCAAAGAGUACAUAUGCCACUUUCCAUGUCUAAUUAGACCUUAUAAAAGGAAAGAAUUGGCCAGUUUUCAGAUAAACCAGAAAAGCUUAUACAAGAGUUUGUUACGUUGACUAUGUUCUUCAAAUUGCCACGAUUUACAAAUAUUGUCAUCCGCUUGCUGUGCUGUGGGGAAAAAAAAGUAGAGGAAAAAGUGUGUGGUUAAGCCAGUCAAUUAUGACAAGGUUAAAGAAGUAACUCGGGGAAAAGAUGAAAAUCCCGCUCUGUUUCAGGGUCUUUUAGUUGAAGCACUCAGGAAAUAUACUAAUGCAGGCCCAGACACCCCAGAAGGGCAAGCUCUCCUGGGUAUACAUUUUCUCAUUCAAUCUUCUCCUGACAUUAGGAGGAAUCUACAAAAAGCAGCAAUGGGACCUUCAAGUCCUAUGAAACGACGCUUAAACAUAGCCUUUAAAGUUUACAACAACAGGGACAGGGCAAAAGAGGGGAGUAAAAAGAAAUAGCCAAAAAGUACAAUUGUUAACAGUGACUUUAAGCCUCCUUGCCCCUCAGGAUUACUCAUCUUGAGAAAAUGUUACAAAAUUAGCAUCUGGGAUGCCUAGACAAGACUUGAUGCCUGACUUGCUGACCCCUGGGCCAGAAUCACUGCGCCUACUAUACGCAAAAGGGCCCCUGGCAAUGCAAAUGUCCUAACUGCUCUGGUGAGAGAGAACAAUAACAACAAAAAGCUUCCAUCAAUACUAGAGCUAACCUUCUCCUACUAGCCCCAGUGAGCUGCUUAGCUCAAGUAAGUUUACUGUCCCAGAGGACAGCUUUCCACAGUGGCAGAUAAGCAGCCGCCUGAACAUUUUUCUUUGGUAUUUCCACCACUGAGUGUGCUCUCCAGUGGCGUGGGGACUCCAGAAUCUCCUUUUGAGCAAUGCAGUUUGCUUCCUCCCCUUUUUAGUUGAUGCUAUGGGAUUCCCUGUCCUGCCUUUUCCUGUUUUCCAUACCUAUCGGGGCAAACAAAAUUUGGCCAGGUAGAUGGGUCCCAGUUCUGUAAAUAACUUGAAUCCAGUUGUCUUGUAUAGGUCAUUUUAUUUAAUAUGUUUUUGGGUAUAUGUACAUGUAUUGUGAUGUGUGUUACAUCUAGCGUGCUGUCAAACUGGCUUAUAGAUAAAAGAACACUCAUACAUUCAACAAAUAAGACUACUGAAAGCUUAUUAGUUUGAAGAGAAUCUUGUAUCUUCUAAAAUUUAACUUUAGGAUUUUUACCUAGGUAAGUCACUGAUGUUCAUAGGCUUUAAAAUGGUUAAAAUGGCUUUAAAUGGUGACCAGCUUUGCAUGGUACCUUGGUUCUCGGUGAUCUAGAUAAAGUUAAAAGUGAAAUAAUUAAAUACACGUAAAUGGGAUAUGCUUAAUGUGUGGUUUAAAAUCAUAAAAUGGUAGAAUGGUUCUCAGUUAUAGAAUGACAAUGUCUAGUGUGAAGUUCAUGACUUCUUCCUUCCUAGGUUUCCAUAAAAUGUGCUAAAGAAAUGUAUUCUUUAUUGAGAAAAAAUUUUUUGUCUAAUCCGGAAGUUACUAAAUGGGAGGUUCAAAACAUGAGUGAACCAGUGAGUAGAAAAGAGAGAUGUAAAGAAUAUUAUGAAUAGAAAAUGUAUUUUUUGUUUGUUUUGCAAGGAAGGAUAUAAAGAAAGAGUAAUUUUAUAUGUGGAGGAAUCCUGUAUAGUAAAUUCCCUAUCCUAGAGUAAAAUAACUUUAAGAAAGAGGUAGUAUAGAACAUGUCAGGAAAUUCAGCUAUGUUGUAGAUGGUCUGUGUAAGUCAUCUGCACAGUGCAUGAGUGUGGAGGUGGGCGGGCACUCAUUGGCCCUUGAACUCCUUUUGAGCAGUAUGGAAGCCAAGAACUAGAAGCCAGGAAAUGGGGUUGUAAAACUGAUUUGUCUAUGGAUUUUAUGUGUUGAGCUGCUGUGGUCUUGGCUUGUAGUAAUUACCUAUAUGAACCUUCCCCCCUCCCCUUUAGAAUUUAGGACAGGUUCAAAAGGCCCUCCAAUAUAAAAAUAAAAUACUGUCCUUCCCCACAAAGGAAAAAAUAGCUCCCCGGUUCAACCAGGAGACUUAGUCUUGCUAAAACCUUAAAGACAGGGUAAAGACAGGGAUACCCCAAGAAUCAAUUACAAUGAAAUGGAAGGGGCCUUAUCAGGUAUUGUUAAGUACCCCCACUGCUGUUAAACUUCAGGGAACACCUACUUGGGCACACAGAUCCAGGACUAAACCUGUUUCUUAUGAGUCACAGGCACAAAGGAAGGGCACUACAACCACAACCAAUAUCAGUAAAGCUUUGGAAGACCUCUGCUACCUAUUUAAAAUAAUCAACACUCAGCCAGAAGAGGUAAUGUAAUGCUGUAGAUGGGAAUAGGAGCAUUGAUCUUGCUCUUCUUCCUGACUGUAGUACUUCCUUUCUAUGGCUUUAACCAGCCACCUCCUCCUGGGAAACAUCUCCUGUGGGCUUGUUGGGUAUAGAAGCUACUCUAAGACCCAACCAGAUACCAUGAUGCCACUGUUAAUUCUGUUUGCUCUUCUAAUUAACCUAAGCUAGUGUGUAUGUGGACAGGGAGGGUGGACAAAAUUCUACAGUAAAUAUUUCAAAAAUUAUAGCAUCAUAGAAUCAUCUUUAUGGCUGCCAGAUUUGUCAUCAACACCCCCAGGAUAGACAGUUUCAUCUUCCGACCUAUCUGGAAAAUCUCAGGACCAUGUCCCCAGACCUCCUAACUAACCAUAGCACCCCAAAAUACCCAAACCCCUAUUGUGAAGUGGAACUCUUCCCCACUUAGUGGAUCCCCCCUGGACCCUGCUGUCCCCCUGCCCUGACCACUAUUAUCGGAAUCUGGGAAGUUGGGCAUCUAUAUCUCCAGUGCACUCAUAACUCUAACAUUUGCAUCCACUCUUGCAUUAAUGACACAAAAGUGGAAGCUUCCCUGCGAUGCUCUGGUCCAACUCUAGUUGCCAAGUUUCCAAGACCACGGGGAGGUAAAUGAGAUUCCAUUUGUGAGUGAAAAGACCAUAUAUGGUACCUUCUCCCGGAUGGGAACAUACAAAGGAAAAACAACUGCCUGAUCUGGGAAGGUGACAGUACUACCUUCUUCUAGAAAACAAAGAUUGUUCAACCACCACCAUGAGAACAGGUGGAAAAUAUCUCUAUAGACCCAACCUGGCAAUGAAGUAUAAACAUCGCACCCCGCAGGGCUUCUCUUGGUGCCCUAGUUGGGUUCAUUUUUGUUUGUGACUAUGAAUGGGAAGAAGUCACACCCUGUAACCACUCCAACUCCCUAAGGAGUCACCUCUUCUUUAAGGAAUAGCUUUCCCUUGUAUCUAAAAAACUUGGAACUGACAUGAAUGAACGUUGGCCACUCUUACCCCUCCAGGGGUCACAAUCUAUAACGCCUAGGACCCAAGAAUAUCAGAAAUAAGUAAGCAAUAAAACUAAUUCUGGCAGGAAUCAGGGUGGCAAUAGGACUAGCAGCACCCUGGGGUGGCUUUGCCUACCAUGAGUUAACGCUAAAGAACUUGGCUCAAAUCCUAGAAUCCUUAGCCACCAACGGAGAUCAGGCAUUAAAGAGAAUUCAAGAGUUCCCCAGACUCUGGAAAAUGUAGUUGUUGAUAACAGACUAGCAUUGGAUUAUUUACUAGCUGAACAAGGUGGGGUCUUGUGCAGUUAUUAAUAAAACCUGCUGCACAUAUAUUAACUCUGGACAGGUUGAGGUUAACAUUCAAAAGAUCUAUGAGCAAGCUACCUAGUUACAUAGAUAUAACCAGGGCACUGCCCCCAACUAUAUCUGGUCAACCAUCAAAAGUGCCUUCCCAAGUCUCACCUGUUUUUCACCUCUUCUAGGACCUUUGACAACUGUCUUGUUACAAAUGUUUGGUCCUUGCUUCUUUAACCUCUUAGUAAAGUUUGUGUAUUCUAGAUUACCACAGUUCCAGAGACAAUGCUGGCACAAGGCUUCCAGCCCAUCCUGUCCACUGACACGGAGAAUGAAAUCGUCCUGCCUCUGGGCUCCUUAGAUCAGGUAUCCAGAGAUUUUUACUCCUCCAGUGCCAGGCAGGGCCUACGUCCAUAAACUCAGCAGGAAGUAGUUACGGAAAACAGAUCUCCGCCCUUCUGCAGCCCCCUUAAGAUUAAGGAGGAGUAUCUAAUCUCUGAAGGGGGAAUGAGGUAGGAGGUGGGACUCAACUCUGGAAGUGGGGCUCAGGCACUCAGACCAAACUGAGCACUAGCUAAAAUAGGUCCAGGGCAGAUGCUAGUUUCCAUAGGACACACCGACCUGUGUCAAGUCAGUUCACCAUGGCUCUGGCAGCACCCAGAAGUUACCACCCUCACCCUGGAAAUGUCUGCAUAAACUGCCCCUUCAUUUGCAUAUAAUUAAAAGUGGAUACAAAUACCACUGCAGAACUGCCUCUGAGCUGCUACUGUGGGCGCACAGCCUGUAGGGCAGCCCUGCUUUGCAAGGAGCAGCGCCUCUGCUGCUGCUGUGCACAGCCGGCCGCUUCAAUAAAAGUUGCUAACACCACUGGCUUGCCCUUGAGUUCCUUCCUGGGCAAAGCUAAGAACCCUCCCGGGCUAUGCUUCAAUCUUAGGGCUCGCCUGUCCUGCAUCACUGGGAUCAUCUCCCAGUAAACUAGCCACACUUACAUCCAUGUGUCAGGGACAUUUCUGGAGAAAGCAGCCCAGGACACUGUUGAAUAAAACACACAAUAGUCUCUGUGGUCUUCUCCACCCCACCCCACACCAGGCACCCUCAGCUUGAUUCUCCUUUUUAAUUGCCUGUAAGCAGGGAAGCACAAUGUUUUCACAUUCUUUGUAAGGCCUUUGUUCUACUAAAAUCUAACCUCAGAGCACAAUUUUAAACUAGAUGAAAGAGUUGCUGCGCCUGAAGCACUGCAAACACCUCCUCACCACACAUGUGCACUCACCCUGGACACCCUCACUCACCCUGACACCCUCACUCCUCACCCUGGACACCCUCACUCACCCCAGACACCGUCACUCCUCACCCUGGACACCUCACUCUGCACCCUGGACACCCUCACUCACCCUGGACACGUUCACUCACCCUGACACCCUCACUCACCCUGGACACCCUCACUCACCCUGGAUACCCUCACUCCUCACCCUGGACACCCUCACUCACCCUGGAUACCCUCACUCCUCACCCUGGACACUCUCACUCACCCUGACACCCUCAAUCCUCACCCUGGACUCCCUCACUCCUCACCCUGGACUCCCUCACUCCUCACCCUGGACACCCUCACUCCUCAUCCUGGACACCCUCACUCAACCUGGACACCCUCACUCCUCACCCUGACACCCUCACUCCUCACCCUGGACACCCUCACUCCUCACCCUGACACCCUCACUCCUCACCCUGGCACCCUCAGUCACCCUGACACCCUCACUCCUCACCCUGACACCCUCAAGUCUUCACCUCCCUGGCUGCAGCCUGGGACACGCUUUCCCUAACUUCUGAAGGCUCAGUCCUCCUCAAGCCAAUCUCAUCUCAAAUUGCACCUCCUCAGAGAGGUCUUCCAUAACCGCCCUUAUAAAGCAGGAUUCUUUCACCAAUACCCCUUCCCACAUGGCACUGUCUCACAGCACUCCUCUAAAAGUCUGUUUACUUCCUUGACAAUCUGUCUUCCUUAUAAGGGGAGGUUCUGUAAAAGCCAAGACUCUCUCUGUCUAGUUGACUGUUGCAUACCAGGGCUUAGACCAAGGCCCUGACAUGCAGUAGGUGCUUAAUAUGUUUUGAGGCAAGGUCUUGCUCUGUUGCACAUGCUGGAGUGCAGUGGCACAAUCGUAAUUCAUUGCAGCCUUGAACUCCUGAGCUCAAGUGAUCCUCCUGCCUCAGCCUCCUGAGUAGCUGGGACUACAGGCAUGCACCACCAAGCUUGGCUAAUUUAAAAAAAAAAUUAUAUAGAUAGGGACUUGCUAUGUUGCCUAGGCUGAUCUUGAACUCCUAACCUCAAGCAAUCCUCCCACCUCGGCCUUCCAAAGUGCUGGGAUAAUAGGCAUGGAGCCGCCACACCCAGCCAAUGUGCCGAAGAAAGAAAGAAAAACAUGCUCAUCCUUUGAGUCAGGUUCAAAUUUUUUCUCCUCUUUAACCCCCAGUCACUCCAGUUAUAAGUGAUUUUUAACUCUUCUCACACUUUAAUGCAUCUGGCAAGAAGAUCCACGUGGUGUUAGGAACAAUACAGGACCUUAAGGAUGGGGGAAUCAGCAGGUGUCAGCGUGCCCUGUAUGCUCAGGGCAGCUGUUUCCACUGGACAUUCUCCCUUUGCCUCUCUGGGCAGCAACUCCUAGGCCAGCCGACCUGCUGUGUCGAGUAACCAGGAUUUCUCAAUCUUGGCAUGGUUGCCAUUUUGGACCAGAUCGUUCUUUGUUGUGGGGGCUGCCCUGUACGGCAAAGAAUGCCGAGCAGCACUUCCAGUCUCCACCCACAGGACGCCAGUAGCACCCUCUAAGUUGUGAGAACUCAAAAUGUCCCCAGAGGAUGCCAGAUGUCCCCUGGGGUGGGGACACAAUCACCCCAGGUUGAGAUCCAUGGAGCCAGGUCUGUUUGCCACCAAGGGGUAAAGCUCCAUUCCCACCUUAGGAGGGCUAGGAGGCAGCAUCGUGGGGCCACAGAAGGCCUGGGUUUGCAGUCAGAGGACAGGAUGCACAUUCCUUCAAGAUACAGACCCAGAUUGUUGGGCAUCUAGUUCUUGGGUUUUCUGUUGUUGCUGUUCCGUUUUGUCUGUCUUCCCUCCUUUGUUUACUAGCAGCCUGGAAUUUGCCACUUUUUCUAAACGAAGAUUUAUGGAACACUUACCACACGGCUGACGCUGCGCGAGGCUAAGGUUCUAAUACACCGCAGCUCACUUAACUCUCGCAAUACCAUAAACGCACACUGUUUCAUCUUGACCCUUUCUUGGGAAGGUGACAGAGAGGUAGGAGGGCAAACAUCUUGUGUGCCCCGUCCCAAGGGUAUUACUGGUGGAAUAAUAUCCGCCCCCCACCCCAGUUUCUAAUUUGCUGUAGGCUGUGACGCUGUGGGGCAAGACUAGGAGUCCUGUUGAAAUUAGGAAUAAGUGUGCUGUGAGGGAAGGGCUGCCUUAUUUUAGAGCACAGAUUUUCUGAAUAUCUAUUUUGACAGGUUCGAUCCUCUCCCCUUCCUGCCUUCCUUCUGUCGAUUUUCAAUGUCUUGAUGGUGUCCCACCUGAGUGGCCUUUAGAGAUGUGAGUUGUGAGGCACUGGGGAGGCAGGCACACGUCCUCCAGCCCAAGACUGCCUAAUUUAACAGGGAUUUCUGCAUUCUGGAACAAGCCUCCAUUUUCCCCAAGCAGGAUUACUCCAGAGGGCAAAACACAGCCCAAUAGUAUCACAUUUCCUUUCUGCUUUAGCAAAAAUAACCACUGUCUCAUUCAUGGGAAAAGGCCGCCAAACAAAUUUGUUACUGGAACCAUUUGUAACAACUUCUAGUUUGCACUGCCUUGGAGCAAGCACACUUUGUAGAGGAGGGAUUUGCAGUUACUUGGGCAACAAGGUAACCACUGAUCAUUACAGGAAGCUUCAGAAACCGUGGGACCAGUGUAGAAGAAUGGACUAUCUGUCCAAACUAAGAAUAAAAAGAAUGACACUUGUAUUUUGUAUGUCUUUUUCACUUUGCCUUUCUAGUAAUUCAUUUUUCUUGAUAUUUACACCUUGUGGCCCUGUGAUAGACUGGAAAUCUCAAAAACACACGUUCAGCACCAAGAUUUUCAGCAGCACCGCCUCAGAAUGAGACCCCUAGAAAAAACUGCGUGUUUUCCACUUGCCCAACACGAGGAGUUUUUGGAACACGACCUGCUUGAGGUGGAGAUUUUCUAGAUGGGCAAAGAGAAGGAAACACUUAACCUAGGAAGAGUAUUUAGGAAGAAGAAAGAACACAGCCUUUCUGCACAGGAAACCGCCGAGCAGAGGGGCAUCUGGCCUCUGCAGUGGCCUCCAAAUAGAGUCCAAUGGCUGGGGCCAGCGUGGCUGCUUAAAGGGGACUCAAGGGAUAUAAUAAAAUGCAGAUUCUCAGGUCCUAGUGCAGACAGGCUCACCCAAUAAGUCUGGACUGCAUAUGGGAAUCUCUAUUUCUAGGCCCUUCUGCAAGGUAUUCCUGCUCUUUCCAGGAACCAUCGGCAGCUGGUUUGGGGAAAGAAGCAACGACUCCAAGUGUGACCUGUGAGCUGGCAGCAGCCACCCUCAGCUCUGCUCUCGGUCACUGAAUCCGAUUCUGCAUUUUAACAGGACCCCAGGUGUUGCACCCACACAAAGCUGAAGCAGAUUGGUCUGGGGGCAAAAAAUUAGAGCUAUGGAGAUUCUCUCAAAUGAAAUAGAUGAUAUCAUUGACUGUUAGAGCUUCUAGAAGGAAUCUGAGGUCACUUGUUCAAAUUCCCUGAUUUACAGAUGAGGAAACAGAGGCUCAGACAGCUCAAAUGACUUCUCUCCAAUACCCAACAUUCGACAAGUAGCAGCUCUGGGACUAGUACCCAAAGCACCUAGCUCUCCAAUCACUGCGCAAGCCACACAAUUCUGUCUGCUUGUCAGUGGCUUUUCUGAUUCAAAAAAAGCUUAGGAAUUUCCCCAGGAGGCAGCACGAUGUAGUGGGAAGGGCUCUGGAUGUCUCUCCAAGGCUUCUGGAAUUCAUGCCCACCUCCACCAAGAAGCCACUUUCCUGCCAGCUACAGGUGCUCACCUGAAAAGCAAGCCAGACCAUAUUAACCCUGGCAUUGCUGGUACCUGGAAGACUUUCUGAUUCAAUGCUUUCCACCUCCUCCUACCCCUCACCACCCCCGUGGCAUGAAAUCCUGGGGGCUGCUUUAGAAAUUGUUUUCUUUGGCUGCUGGUGGGGGUGCUGCUGGUGGGGGUUUGCACAGCUGGCACACUGCACCAGUCUGGUGGGGGUUUGCACAGCUGGCACACUGCACCAGUCUCCUGCCUGCUGCCAACAAGGCCAUUUCCCAAGCACUGGCUUUGGAGAAGUUGGGGCUCUGAAGUGGGAACACAAGGCUGCCUUUUGCAGGCCAGGUGUAAAUUCUCCCCCUGCCACUUUCAGCCUAGCGUGAAACAGAUGGAGUGUGCAUUCCCACUUCCCUUUAUGGUACCCUGGAAUGAUGGAGCUGCCCAGGGCAUCGCCACGUUACUCUCUAGACAGUCUCUUUGUCUUCCUGCAAUGGCAGCGCCGAGGUUGUAUAUUUCUAGGUGCAGGUAUAUGAUUGCCAUAUAAUAAAAAUCUGAAAACAUCCCA